rnacentral:rRNA from 1 species
UGGGGAAUAUUGCGCAAUGGGCGAAAGCCUGACGCAGCAACGCCGCGUGAGUGAUGAAGGUCUUCGGAUCGUAAAGCUCUGUCGGCAGGAACGAUGGGUUUGUUGGCUAAUAACCAACGAAUUUGACGGUACCUGCAAAGGAAGCACCGGCUAACUCUGUGCCAGCAGCCGCGGUAAUACAGAGGGUGCAAGCGUUGUUCGGAAUUAUUGGGCGUAAAGGGCGCGUAGGCGGUUUUGUAAGUCGGAUGUGAAAGCCCAGGGCUUAACCUUGGAAGUGCAUUCGAAACUGCAAGACUUGAGUAUCGAAGAGGGUGGUGGAAUUCCCAGUGUAGAAGUGAAAUUCGUAGAUAUUGGGAGGAACACCGGUGGCGAAGGCGACCACCUGGUCGAUAACUGACGCUGAGGCGCGAAAGCGUGGGGAUCAAACAG